rnacentral:rRNA from 1 species
GACGAACGCUGGCGGCGUGCUUAACACAUGCAAGUCGAACGGAAAGGCCCUGCUUUUGUGGGGUGCUCGAGUGGCGAACGGGUGAGUAACACGUGAGUAACCUGCCCUUGACUGUGGGAUAACUUCAGGAAACUGGGGCUAAUACCGGAUAGGAGCUCCUGCUGCAUGGUGGGGGUUGGAAAGUUUCGGCGGUUGGGGAUGGACUCGCGGCUUAUCAGCUUGUUGGUGGGGUAGUGGCUUACCAAGGCUGUGACGGGUAGCCGGCCUGAGAGGGUGACCGGCCACAUUGGGACUGAGAUACGGCCCAGACUCCUAAGGGAGGCAGCAGUGGAGAAUAUUGCACAAUGGGGGGAAGCCUGAUGCAGCAACGCCGCGUGCGGGAUGACGGCCUUCGGGUUGUAAACCGCUUUCGCCUGUGACGAAGCGUGCGUGACGGUAAUGGGUAAAGAAGCACCGGCUAACUACGUG